rnacentral:rRNA from 1 species
UUAAAAGUCUAAUCUGCCCAAUGAUUUACAAUUAAAUGGCCGCGGUAAAUUGACCGUGCAAAGGUAGCAUAAUAAAUAGUCUUUUAAUUGAAGGCUUGAAUGAAUGAUUGGAUGAGAAAUUAGCUUAAUUAAUAUUAAUAAUUGAAAUUGAUUUUUAAGUAAAAAAGCUUAAAUAUAUAAGUGGGACGAGAAGACCCUAUAGAAUUUUUAAAAUUUUUUUAGAUUUGUUUAUUUUAGUUAAUUAAUUUUUUAUUAUUUAAAUAAUUUUUUUGUUGGGGUGACAUUAAAAUGAAAUUAACUUUUAAUUAAAAUUUCAUAAAUAUAUGUAAAUAUUGAUCCAAAAUUUUUGAUUAUAAGAAUAAAUUACCUUAGGGAUAACAGCGUUAUUAAUUUGAAGAGUUCUUAUCGAUAAAUAAGAUUGCGACCUCGAUGUUGGAUUAAAAAUAGAAAUUGGAGCAAAAUUUUUUAUUUCUGGGUCUGUUCGACCCUUAAUAU